UACAGAGGGUGCAAGCGUUGUCCGGAAUCACUGGGCGUAAAGCGUCUGCAGGUGGUUUCCUAAGUCCACUGUUAAACCUUGAGGCUCAACCUCAAAUCUGCAUUGGAAACUAGGAGACUUGAGUAUAGUAGGGGUAGAGGGAAUUUCCAGUGGAGCGGUGAAAUGCGUAGAUAUCGGAAAGAACACCAACGGCGAAAGCACUCUGCUGGGCCGACACUGACACUGAGAGACGAAAGCUAGGGGAGCGAAUGGG
rnacentral:rRNA from 1 species